GGUCCUCCAGCAUUAGGCAGGGUAAAGGAAACCUCAUUUGGAGGUUAAUAAAGAGAGAGUUUCAUGAUGAUGAAGGACAGAGGGCACAAAGAUACAUAGACAUAAUCUAAAAGUAGCACUAGCAUAACAGCUGUUGAUUUAGUAAGGUAACAGACAUGUCAAACCAGCAGGAGCAGAAAAAAAUAAAUUCCUGUGUAAACACGAACAUACAGUAUAUGGGUAACCCAAGCCAUUCACUGUUCCUGGGAGUAGUUGGAAGAAAGAAAGAAAGAAAGAAAGAAAGAAAGAAAGAAAGAAAGAAAGAAAGAAAGAAAGAAAGAAAGAAAGAAAGUGUCACCAUGGCUCACUUCUGUCUGCACCAAAACCAACUGUUCCUGAUGGCAAAAGAGAUCCCCAACAGAAGUUAGUCAAACCAGGGAAUGAUGUGAUGCUGGUCCACCAGCUUCGCUUUAACUGCUGCUUGAGACCAUCCAUGGGAGAUUCCACCUGGCCCUGCUGACAUUACUUCCGGGUCCAAGCCUAUGGAGGAAGACCUUGUCGGCUCAGGCCCCUUUGAUGUAACAUCUGAGACCGAGCCAAUCACUGAAGAAACCUAUGAGCCUGACCCCGCUGACUUCACUUCCUGUCUUCCCCUUUAAAAGCCACCUUUUUCCUUAUUCCCUCAGUUCUGUUUUGGACUCGUUUUUAUGCACAUCAGUGCUGUAUAACAUUUUGCGAGUUUGCAUCCUGGAUACAAAUAUACGGGUGGCUGCUCCAAACCCUGCUAUGACUCUGUAUGGAGUUUCUGACAAUGCACAUUCAUCGUCAACAUGGUCUUACUGCUUGGGACGCAUUUUCCAUACCAACCCCAAUGUAAACAAAAAUCAAACUUGGCAUCUGACACCAAAUGAGCACUUUAACUGAACAGAGAGGUGUGUUCAUGUCAAAAGUGCGUGCCUACGUUAAAAUUCUGCUAGCAGAUUGUAAACUAAGGUGCAGUAGAUGCGACCAAUCAGAAUAUCUGGGAAGCGGGAUUAAAAAUCAGACCAAAGGCAGCUCUAAUGUGCUUGCUGUAUAGCUUAUAAAUAGAAGAGACUGCCGGUGUGUCUGCAGCACUGCUAACUCAGAAACUAGUGAAGAAAUUGAUUUCAAAUGUGGUGAUUGUAUUCCAAAAGACUAUAAGCAGAGCAGUGUGAUGUUUGAAAAAAUAGCCAUAUCCAAAAAAGAACAAGUCAUCGAAAUGUUGCCAAAGAUAAGACUUUCAGAGUGUUUGAUAAGUUCAGAUGGGUAUAUCCAAAGAAACACAACCUUAUAUCCAUCCAUCCAUUAUCCA